CAAAACAACAACUAGCAAAAUGUGUGAAUACCUGUUUCUAAGGUAUCAGAAACAACUUACAGACAUGGAUUCACCAAGUCUUAUAAAAUAGGAUGUAAGGGCACAUAGCCUCAUAUUUAUUUUACCAAAGAGAACAGAAAAAGUCAUUAAGAACCAGCAAUGGAAUCCAUUCUCUCUCUCCUGGAUGCACUGUUUAAGUAACUGCACACCCACCUAAAGUUCUCUUUCCCCCCAGUAAUGUUAUACUUACGAAAACAUCAGGUGCUAAGAUUUAAUAGCUUAUUAGGUCAAUUUUUUCGGGGGAUCCAUU
rnacentral:lncRNA from 1 species